GGCAGGCUGGGAGGCAGAAUGACCUUGGCCCACUCUGUUCUAGAGGUCAUGGUUACAGGCAGACCCCUUUCUUCGUUGUAAGGUGCUGCUGGGAAGCCUCCUCACUGAAGCACUGGCCAAGAUUCCUUCCAGAAAGAGCCAGAAAUGACAUCCUAAGGCAGCGAUGGUGAACCUUUUAAAGCUUUCAGAGUUACAAACAGCCCACUGCUACAGAUGUGCAACCCAUGCCCACACCUGAGCUGAGUGGGUGUGGAUGGACACUGAACAGACUACUGAAGAAAGCCGAGGUCAUUGUGCAUAGUAUUUUCAAGAUGCUAUCUGUGUUCCAAAAGCCCUAUUUCCACAAGAAUUUAAUUUCCACAAGGAAGCUAAAGGAAUUCAGAGCAGGAGACAUGGGAAAACAGAUGAAGACAGCAGAUGGAAGAACUAGGAAGUGAAUCAGCCAUGGCAUGUGGAAGCCACUCUGUCCUCCACUAAGAUGAGCAGUGUCUACCUGGAAUGGG
ensembl:lncRNA